rnacentral:rRNA from 1 species
GCGAUCACGGGAGACACACGGCGGGUGCUAACGUCCGUCGUGGAGAGGGCAACAACCCAGACCGCCAGCUAAGGUCCCAAAGUUACAGUUAAGUGGGAAACGAUGUGGGAAGGCUUAGACAGCUAGGAGGUUGGCUUAGAAGCAGCCAUCCUUUAAAGAAAGCGUAAUAGCUCACUAGUCGAGUCGGCCUGCGCGGAAGAUUUAACGGGGCUCAAACUGUACACCGAAGCUGCGGAUAUCUUUUAGAUAUGGUAGAGGAGCGUUCUGUAAGCUGAUGAAGCUCAAUUGAGAAGUUGGGUGGAGGUAUCAGAAGUGCGAAUGCUGACAUGAGUAACGACAAAGGGGGUGAAAAACCCCCUCGCCGGAAGACCAAGGGUUCCUGCGCAACGUUAAUCGGCGCAGGGUGAGUCGGCCCCUAAGGCGAGGCUGAGAAGCGUAGUCGAUGGGAAACAGGUUAAUAUUCCUGUACUUGUAUAUAUUGCGAUGGGGAGACGGAGAAAGCUAAACCAGCAUGGCGACGGUUGUCCAUGUUUAAGGUUGUAGGCUGAGGACUUAGGCAAAUCCGGGUCCUUAAGGCUGAGAACUGAUGACGAGAUCUCUUUUAGAGAUUGAAGUGGUUGAUGCUCUGCUUCCAGGAAAAACCUCUAAGCUUCAGAUAUAUAGGAACCGUACCCCAAACCGACACAGGUGGUCAGGUAGAGAAUACCAAGGCGCUUGAGAGAACUCGGGUGAAGGAACUAGGCAAAAUGGUACCGUAACUUCGGGAGAAGGUACGCCGAUUUUGGUGAUCAGACUUGCUCUGUAAGCUGAGGUCGGCCGAAGAUACCAGUUGGCUGCGACUGUUUAUUAAAAACACAGUACUCUGCAAACACGAAAGUGGACGUAUAGGGUAUGACACCUGCCCGGUGCCGGAAGGUUAAUUGAUGGGGUUAGCGUAUGCGAAGCUCUUGAUCGAAGCCCCGGUAAACGGCGGCCGUAACUAUAACGGUCCUAAGGUAGCGAAAUUCCUUGUCGGGUAAGUUCCGACCUGCACGAAUGGUGUAACGAUGGCCAAGCUGUCUCCACCCGAGACUCAGUGAAAUUGAAAUCGCUGUUAAGAUGCAGCGUAUCCGCGGCUAGACGGAAAGACCCCGUGAACCUUUACUAUAGCUUCACAGUGAACUUUGAACCUAUUUGUGUAGGAUAGGUGG